CGGGCUGGGACCCGCCGCCCACCCCCCUCCCCCCCCACCACCCCCUCCCCCCCCCCCCCAGCCCGCCUUCAACCCCGCCGCCCCCCGACCAGGUCCAGGCCAUGGCUGGCGCGUAGCCCCUCCCCCGCCCGGCGCCACCCGCUGAACACGCUGCGCUAGAAGACGGAUGGGAAAGAUGAUUGGCUGCCAGGCGAGGGGCGCCCUGUGAUUGGCCGGAUUCCGGGAGAGCGUCGCCCGAUAGGUGUAUGCAGUGAGGGCGGGGCCGCCCCAGCCCAGCAGCCGCCCCUCCCCCCCCCGGGGCUGCCCCGCACCCGCCCCCGCGGGGGGGGCCCGGGGGGCCCGGAGCGG